rnacentral:rRNA from 1 species
UACGGGGGGAGCAAGCGUUGUUCGGAUUUACUGGGCGUAAAGGGCGCGUAGGCGGUCAGCACAAGUCAGUUGUGAAAUCUCCGGGCUUAACUCGGAAAGGUCAACUGAUACUGUGCGACUAGAGUGCGGAAGGGGCAACUGGAAUUCUCGGUGUAGCGGUGAAAUGCGUAGAUAUCGAGAGGAACACCUGCGGCGAAGGCGGGUCUCUGGGCCGAUACUGACGUGAGGAGCGAAAGCGUGGGGAGCGAACAGG